rnacentral:rRNA from 1 species
UACGAAGGGGGCUAGCGUUGCCCGGAAUCACUGGGCGUAAAGCGCACGUAGGCGGAUUGCUAAGUCAGGGGUGAAAUCCUGGAGCUCAACUCCAGAACUGCCUUUGAUACUGGCGAUCUCGAGUCCAGGAGAGGUGAGUGGAACUGCGAGUGUAGAGGUGAAAUUCGUAGAUAUUCGCAAGAACACCAGUGGCGAAGGCGGCUCACUGGCCCGGUACUGACGCUGAGGUGCGAAAGCGUGGGGAGCAAACAGG